ACGGAAUAAUAACUUCGGUUAUUAUUUAGUGGCGGAAGGGUUAGUAAUACAUAGAUAAUCUGUCCUCAACUUGGGAAUAACGGUUGGAAACGACCGCUAAUACCGAAUGUGGUAUGUUUAGGCAUCUAAAACAUAUUAAAGAAGGGGAUCUUCGGACCUUUCGGUUAAGGAAGAGUCUAUGGGAUAUCAGCUUGUUGGUGGGGUAAUGGCCUACCAAGG
rnacentral:rRNA from 1 species